AUUGAACGCUGGCGGCAUGCCUUACACAUGCAAGUCGAACGGCAGCACGGGAGCAAUCCCGGUGGCGAGUGGCGAACGGGUGAGUAAUAUAUCGGAACGUGCCCAGUCGUGGGGAUAACGUAGCGAAAGCUACGCUAAAACCGCAUACGAUCUAUGGAUGAAAGCGGGGGAUCGCAAGACCUCGCGCGAUUGGAGCGGCCGAUAUCAGAUUAGGUAGUUGGUGAGGUAAAGGCUCACCAAGCCGACGAUCUGUAGCUGGUCUGAGAGGACGACCAGCCACACUGGGACUGAGACACGGCCCAGACUCCUACGGGAGGCAGCAGUGGGGAAUUUUGGACAAUGGGCGCAAGCCUGAUCCAGCAAUGCCGCGUGCAGGAUGAAGGCCU
rnacentral:rRNA from 1 species